AAAGCUUUUAAAAAAAAAAAGAGAUCGGGAGUGUGGCGUUAUCAACUGAGAAUUCAGAAGGAUGCGAAGGACCCAACCUACGCUAAAGCCAAUUUUAUCACAGCUUAGAUGCACCAGCCGGGAAUCAAACCGUUCUGAAUCGCCGUUGAGGUCCUGAAAGAAAGAUUUGGCCGCCUCGUAAGUGGACCAACAUAUGGCUGUUGCUGAUGCAUGGAUGAACAUUCUGGGGAGGCAUAAACCCUUCAUAUUUCACAAAGGAUACGAACACAUGGCUCAAUGAAACCCUAGUGACAUGCUGCACAUGACCAGAUAAGUUAUAAGAAGAAGAAGAAGAAGAAGAAGAUCAUAGGCUAUGUCUGGCCUGGUCGAUUAGUUAGUUACACACAUCUUAAAAUCAUUUUGUUUAUAUUUAUGCCUUGAUUGUCUACUUUUGUUUUUGCUUUUACAUUGUGAGCGUGCGUGUGUGUUUUCCUUAAAUAAUCCUCCAAUGAAAUGUUCAGAUGUGGGUCAAUCAC